rnacentral:rRNA from 1 species
AUUGAACGCUGGCGGCAGGCCUAACACAUGCAAGUCGAACGAGUGGCGGACGGGUGAGCAAUGUCUGGGAAACUGCCUGAUGGAGGGGGAUAACUACUGGAAACGGUAGCUAAUACCGCAUACCAUCGGAUGUGCCCAGAUGGGAUUAUCUAGUAGGUGGGGUAACGGCUCACCUAGGCGACGAUCCCUAGCUGGUCUGAGAGGAUGACCAGCCACACGAGAACUGAGACACGGUCCAGACUCCUACGGGAGGCAGCAGUGGGGAAUAUGGCACAAUGGGCACAAGCCUGAUGCAGCAAUGCCGGGUGUAUGAAGAAGGCCUUCGGGUUGUAAAGUACUUUCGGCGGGGAGGCGUUACCCGCAGAAGAAGCACCGGCUAACUCCGUGCCAGCAGCCGCGGUAAUAC